rnacentral:rRNA from 1 species
CGGGGUGAGUAACGCGUGGGUAACCUACCCUGUACACACGGAUAGCAUACCGAAAGGUAUGCUAAUACAGGAUAAUAUAUUUGAGAGGCAUCUCUUGAAUAUCAAAGGUGAGCCAGUACAGGAUGGACCCGCGUCUGAUUAGCUAGUUGGUAAGGUAACGGCUUACCAAGGCGACGAUCAGUAGCCGACCUGAGAGGGUGAUCGGCCACAUUGGAACUGAGACACGGUCCAA